rnacentral:tRNA from 1 species
UCCCUGGUGGUCCAGUGGUUAAGACUCUGCAUCUUCACUGCAGGCAGCACAGGUUCAAUCCCUGGUUGGAGAA